rnacentral:lncRNA from 1 species
AUCAUGGAGGGAGGAGUUGAUACUCAUAAGCUCAUCAGUCAGAGUUAGGACUUAGGAGUUACCUCACCAGUCAGGAUGGCAACACUCAUGAAGCACAGCAGCCAAGCACUUUUGCUGCUUUCCUUGGCUCUUCUGGCUUGUUCAGUUGUUCCUGCACGCAUGCUAAUAAGCGGUAAUCACCAAAUCAAACCAACUUCUUCUUGUGGAGAAUAGAUAGAGUGCUCAACAAUUUGAUGGCUCGUUGGUUCAUCUGUUCUUCUUUUAUGCAUUCUUAUGGUACGUACCUUAGGAGGACAUGUCUCGUGUAUGAUCUUCAUGCAGGGCAAAGCGUUGGCGUCACGAAUGGCAAGGUGACUAUGGGGGCAAGCAGCAGCACCACCAAGUGUUUCGAAAACCGGAACUCGCCUAAUGGAUCCCCUAUCUUCUGCUGCAAGAUCUUGGAUGUGUGCUUUUCGUCGCCGACAUUUUGCGAGUCGCAUUGCUAGCUAGUGAAGAUUAUUAAGUUGUUGAGGAAAUAUUAGAUACAGUGU